AUGUACAAAACAACUUGAAGUUCCAACUUUAUCUCUUAUAAUAUAGUUCAACAUAAUAACAAUACUAAAAAUCAUUUUUUAUAUUUUUUAUAAAAUUAUUAUUUAAAUGUUAAUAACAAUGAUUUAAUUAUUUUUAAUAUAAAAAUAUAUUUUUUAUAUGCCACGAACGCGUCCCGCUGGUUUCGCUUCCGUUUGAAUGACAGAGAAGAAUAGAGGUGCAGCGACGAUUGAAUUCACACCCAAGGCACCGCAACUCUUGAAACACCCAUCGGCUGCUUCAGAUUCUCUCAAAGCUUUACAGUUUAGCUUUUGUCGUUGAUGCACCUUCCUUUUAUUCUUAUCGAUCUUCCCGGUUUUCUUUUUUGUGUCACCGUCGGCUACAAGAAACUAGCUUCAUCAGUUUUCCUCUGCCUAUUACAAGGAAACAUCGGCAAUAAGGAAGAUGGCCCUGCCUGUACUGUUGUUAUUUAGAUUUUGGUAUGUGAAGCCUCGAUCACAUGCCAGCAUUUUAAUCGAUUCAUACGACAUUAGUUGGGUUCAAACAAUUCAAUUGGUUCAACGAUUCAUUCAACCCUCACGACUGAAGCGCUUUUAUCGGCUGCAGUCUUAUGUAUGAUUUUGUACUUCGAUUUCUAAUAUAUUAUUUGAUUGACAUCCGCCAUUUAUGAUGGCCUUCAGUUUUUUUAGAAGAACAACGAAACGAAGUGAGAGGCCGGGUGCAGGAACAAGAGUCGAGUUGAUUCAAUUUGCCUUUAUUGAGUUUACUAACUACGAAGGGGCAAGAAAUGCAUAGAAUAUUGCUUGAACUAUGCUUGGUAUUAUCCAGUUAGGGACAACAGCCAACUUGGUGUAUGUAUAAACUCAUUGGUUCCUAAUUAUUCCAGGUUCUGUCUCUCUUCUCAAUUUGAUCUGUUUUCUUCAUCAUUUAUUUGUUUCUUUUGUUAAUCUUCUAAUCUUCGAUAAUGGUUUCUGGCUUUUGAUUGUUAAAUCAAACUAAUAAGUUACUUUUUUGUUUGAAUUGAACAUCAGUAAAUUUUUUUAAUUAUUUUACAUUUAAGAUGAGCAUUUUGUCAUAAUUUUUGUCUACUUUUUUUUCAAUACUGUAAAUACUAAAUUACUAAUACUCAGUAAAUUUUUUGUAUAAACUGAUCAGUAAAUAUUGCCUUGAACUAUGCCUGGUGUUGUGUUGUGUAUGAAUGAAUGAAGCUGAAAAAUGGUAUGAGCUAAUACUCAGCCUUGGGAGAGGUGUCGUGUACUUGGGUUCUGCAAGGAUGGGCCCCGGAUAUGAGCAUUAUGUCCAGACACAAGAAUUGGCAAGAGAG